rnacentral:rRNA from 1 species
UGGGGAAUCUUGGACAAUGGGGGCAACCCUGAUCCAGCCAUGCCGCGUGAGUGAUGAAGGCCUUAGGGUCGUAAAGCUCUUUCGCCUGUGAAGAUAAUGACGGUAGCAGGUAAAGAAACCCCGGCUAACUCCGUGCCAGCAGCCGCGGUAAUACGGAGGGGGUUAGCGUUGUUCGGAAUUACUGGGCGUAAAGCGCACGUAGGCGGACCAGAAAGUUGGGGGUGAAAUCCCGGGGGCUCAACCCCGGAACUGCCUCCAAAACUAUUGGUCUAGAGUUCGAGAGAGGUGAGUGGAAUUCCAAGUGUAGAGGUGAAAUUCGUAGAUAUUUGGAGGAACACCAGUGGCGAAGGCGGCUCACUGGCUCGAUACUGACGCUGAGGUGCGAAAGUGUGGGGAGCAAACAGGAUUAGAUACCCUGGGUAGUCCACACCGUAAAACGAUGAAUGCCAGUCGUCGGGUAGCAUGCUAUUCGGUGACACACCUAACGGAUUAAGCAUUCCGGCCUGGGGAGUACGGUCGCAAGAUUAAAA